GUGUGUAAUCUAGCAAUGCCGUUAUCACUUGGAUGUACCUUUACUAGGAUGGGCUUUUGUUCUUCGUGUGAGAAGAGGGCGCCAGAUCUCAUAACGGAUGCUUGUGAGCCACCAUGUAGUUGCUGGGAAUGGAACUCAGGACCUCUGGAAGAGCAGUCAGUGCUCUUAACGGCUGAGCCGUCUCUCCAGCCCCCUCAGAUGGUUCUUGACCCCUCACUGUUCAGGACGUGUGUGUCUCCCACAGACAAGCAACAGCAAGCACCCUACACCCUACAGGAUGUUGUCUGAGUCCUGACUGGUCUCUCUCUCCCCUGGGAAGUAUCUGUCUCCAUAUCUCUGUGACACUCCACCUCCCCACCCUACCCUCACCCCCACCCCUCCCCGCCACCAUGGGAGCUCCAGCAGUGAGCGUGACCUUUGGCCUUUCCGGCUCUCUGACCUGGUUCCACCCUGAUUCAGGCUCAGAAUUCCCAAGAGCGAGUGAGCUAUUAAGAACAGAAGGUUGUUUUGGCUCACCGUCCUGGAGGCCAGUCCAAGACCUGCUGAGUGCCCCCUGCUGGACAGCAGCUGUCGAGGAAGGGGAUACAAAGAAUUCACUCCCACAGGAAGGCGUCAGUCGCUGGCACUGAAAGGUUGAGGAACCUGAAGAGACCUGCAGAGGACAUUGGAGCCUUUGGGACUGGAGUUACGGGUGUUUUCGAAAAGCCCAAAGUUGGUUCUGGGAACUCACGGCCAGCUUGUGUGCUCUGGUGUUCCUGUGGCCUGGAACGACACUCUCUUGACACAAGCUGACUUGGGCAUUGCUGCCAGCUGGGCCCAGACAUUCCGACUCACUUCUAAAUCACCCGGCUGCCAAUUUUCCAGUUGCAAGAGGGGAAAGCUUCAUAAACGGCUUGCUUCCACCUGACCUGUGGAGGAGGGUGAAGCCAUGAUGGUCUCAUAUAGCCAAGGCUAGCCUCAAACUUGUAUAUCUGAGGAUGACCUUGAACUUCUGACCUCACCUCUUCCUCCUGAGUGCUGGGACUGCAAGCCUCUGCUGGGAGUCAAUCCCAGAGCUUUGUCAUGCCAGGAUGAAUUGGUACCAGGAGUGGAUACUGCUGUGACAGACCUGACCAUGUUUGGGAGAUUUCUGGAAGGAGAGCCAUUGAGUAUCAAGAGCUCAGUGGACAGCUCUGAGGGGACUUGGGAGGGAAGAAUGUUGAGAGCAGUGCAGACAAUGGAGGCCUGGCCUGAGAAGUUUCUGAGGGAAGCAAAGACUCCAGCAGGCCUUUUGUGUGAAUAAUCUGUUGUUUUGGCC
rnacentral:lncRNA from 1 species